rnacentral:rRNA from 1 species
GACGAACGCUGGCGGCGUGCUUAACACAUGCAAGUCGAACGAGUGGCGAACGGGUGAGUAACACGUGGGUGAUCUGCCUUGCACUUCGGGAUAAGCUUGGGAAACUGGGUCUAAUACCGGAUAGUGCAAGAUGAGCUCGCGGCCUAUCAGCUUGUUGGUGGGGUAAUGGCUACCAAGGCGUGACGGGUAGCUGGUCUGAGAGGAUGAUCAGCCACACUGGGACUGGGACACGGCCCAGACUCCUACGGGAGGCAGCAGUGGGGAAUAUUGCACAAUGGGCGCAAGCCUGAUACAGCCAUGCCGCGUGUAUGAAGAAGGCCCUAGGGUUGUAAAGUAUUUUCAGUCGGGAGGCGUUACCGACAGAAGAAGCACCGGCUAACUCCGUGCCAGCAGCCGCGGUAAUAC